rnacentral:SRP_RNA from 1 species
GCCAGGUGUGGUGGCAGGUGCCUGUAGUCUCAGCUACUUGGGAGGCUGAGGCAGGAGGAUCACUAGAGCCCAGGAGUUCUGGGCUAUAGUGUGCUAUGCCCAUCGGGUAUCUGCACUAAGUUCAACAUUAUUAUGGUGACCUCCCGGGAGCAAGGAACCACCAGGUUGCCUAAGGAGUGGUGAACCGGCCCAGGUAGGAAACAGAGCAGGUCAAAACUCCCGCGCUGAUCAGUAGUGGGAUCACACCUGUGAAUAGCCACUGUACUCCAGCCUGGGCAACAUAGUGAGACCCUGUCUCUA